UGCAUAACGCGAAGAACCUUACCUACUCUUGUAUCCUUCCUUUGUACUUCAGAGAUGAUUGUCUUCGGUUCGGCCGGGGAGUGACAGGUGCUGCAUGGCUGUCGUCAGCUCGUGUCGUGAGAUGUUGGGUUAAGUCCCACAACGAGCGCAACCCUCAUCGUAUGUUGCCAUCAGGUAAUGCUGGGCACUCGUGCGAGACCGCCGGUGAUAAGCCGGAGGAAGGUGGGGACGACGUCAAGUCAUCAUGGCCCUUACGAGUAGGGCUACAAACGUGCUACAAUGGUGGUGACAGUGAGCAGCCACUCCGCAAGGAGGAGCUAAUCUCUAAAAGCCAUCUCAGUUCAGAUUGUCCUCUGCAACUCGAGGGCAUGAAGUUGGAAUCGCUAGUAAUCGUGGAUCAGCAUGCCACGGUGAAUACGUUCCCGGGUCUUGUACACACCG
rnacentral:rRNA from 1 species